UUUAAGUCUAACCGUAAAUUUUCGUGUUCAACUUUAAUAGUUUAUCUUAUUUAUUUUUAAAAAAAAAUAAAAAACAUAAGUCACACAAAGUAAUAUUCAUGUUUUAUCGUCUAGUAUCAAUAAAAAUAUCAAUCAUAUAAAAAACUUUUAAAUAAAACGGAUUAAAGUUGGACACGGAAACUCAUGAUUGUAUUUAAA
rnacentral:pre_miRNA from 1 species